UACGUAGGGGGCUAGCGUUGUCCGGAAUCAUUGGGCGUAAAGAGCGUGUAGGCUGCUCGGUAAGUCCGCUGUAAAAGUCAAAGGCUCAACCUUUGAAUGUCAGUGGAUACUGCCGGGCUAGAGUCCGGAAGAGGCGAGUGGAACUGCGAGUGUAGAGGUGAAAAUUCGUAGAUAUUCGCAAGAACACCAGUGGCGAAGGCGGCUCACUGGUCCGGUACUGACGCUGAGGUGCGAAAGCGUGGGGAGCAAACCGG
rnacentral:rRNA from 1 species